AACGAACGCUGGCGGCAUGCAUAACACAUGCAAGUCGCACGAUCCCUUCGGGGAUAGUGGCGCACGGGUGCGUAAGGCGUGGGAAUCUGCCCUUGGCUUCGGAAUAACAGUUAGAAAUGACUGCUAAUACCGGAUGAUGUCUUCGGACCAAAGAUUUAUCGGCCAGGGAUGAGCUCGCGUAGGAUGAGGUAGAUGGUGGGGUAAAGGCCUACCAAGCCGACGAUCCUUAGCUGGUCGGAGAGGAUGAUCAGACACACUGGGACUGAGACACGGCCCAGACUCCUACAGGAGGCAGCAGUGGGGAAUAUUGGACAAUGGGCGCGAGCCUGAUCCAGCAAUGCCGCGUGAGUGAUGAAGGCCUUCGGGUCGUAAAGCUCUUUUACCCGGGAUGAUAAUGACAGUACCGGGAGAAUAAGCUCCGGCUAACUCCGUGCCAGCAGCCGCGGUAACAC
rnacentral:rRNA from 1 species